rnacentral:sRNA from 1 species
CCAAGAGAUAAUAAAAGGGAUAACAAAGAAUUUAUUUGAUGGAUAAAAACGCGGGUUAAAUAAUUUACAAAACAAUGUAGUUCGUGUUGUCUUGAGGUAUCAAUCCUUGAUGAUAAAAACUGAUAGAUAAAAUAAUGAAAAUAAAAGUAAUGAUAAAGAGGUGCAUAUAAUGAAAAAAAGAGAGUAAUUUUUGUAAUAUACUUGUUAGUAAGAAAAUUAUAGGGCAUCGAUGAUGAAAAUCCAUCCAAUAAAUUAGUUUUGUCCACCAAUGUUUAUGUAGAUUUUGUACAGUAAUCAGGUUAAUAGAAAAUGGUACUGCAGAAAAAAGGGUGGCUGAAUUUAAUCCUACUUUCAAACUGCAAGAGACAAUACAGAAUAUUCAAACAAAAACUAAAAUAUUCUUGAGCAUUUUAAAGGGAGUAGGCCCUGCCAAAACACUAGUUGUUAACAUGUAUGGUUGAGUUCGACCUAUAUUGAAAUUCUUAAACAAUCAAAAUAUUCAUUUUAACAAUUGUUGAGGACCUAUCAACCAUCCACAUAUGUUUCCAAUUGUGCAACUUUCACCUUCAGAGCGCUGACUCUUUAUUGCUAAAGGUGUGUGUUACAGAUAGCACAUCAACUGGAAAUGUUUAUGUAUAUAAGUGGAAGGAAACUCAAACUCAUGAGCUAACUUUUAGGGUUGAAUUAGGUCCAACCCCAAAUUGGCAAAUUCUAAGAGAGAAAGCCACUCGCUAUUGUCCACUCACCAUGUUCUGUCACAAAUUGCAUCUUGCUAUGUGUUUGGCAUCCAACGAGACUACACUUUCUUCCCUACCCACAAAGCAAUAGAAGUAAAAGCUGGGGUUUUUCCUUAUAAGGGUAUCAUUAAAUUGCAUCUUAGUGCGAUUCAUUUUUCUUUAGUGACUACAUUUAUAGUUGAUGCGUCAAGCUCAGUUGCAAAGAAGGGAUUCUGUUACGGUAUAAGGUAGGGGGUAAUAAUAAGGUUUGGAAAGUAUAUGAGAAGGAGAAGGAAGGUAGGAGGGAAGUGAGGCCGAACGGUAUUGACCGUAAAGGCCGAACGGUGGAAGGCGAGGAGCGACCAGGCUGAACGGUGGAAGGUGAGGAGCGACCAGGCCGAACGGUGGAAGGCAGAGAGCGACCAGGCCGAACGGUGAAAGGCAGAGAGCGACCAGGCUGAACGGUGGAAGGCAGAGAGCGAGCAACCAGGCCGAGCCGUGGG